rnacentral:rRNA from 1 species
GAUGAACGCUGGCGGCGUGCCUAAUACAUGCAAGUCGAGCGAACACACGAUGAGCUUGCUCCCUCGACGUUAGCGGCGGACGGGUGAGUAACACGUAGGUAACCUACUUAUAAGACUGGGAUAACUUCGGGAAACCGGAGCUAAUACUGGAUCAUAUUUCGAACGGCAUGGUUCGAUAGUGAAAGAUAGCUUUGCUGUCACUUAUAGCUGGACCUGCGCCGUAUUAGCUAGUUGGUAAGGUAACGGCCUACCAAGGCAACGAUACGUAGCCGACCUGAGAGGGUGAUCAGCCACACUGGAACUGAGACACGGUCCAGACUCCUACGGGAGGCAGCAGUAGGGAAUAUUCCGCAAUGGGCGAAAGCCUGACGGAGCAACGCCGCGUGAGUGAUGAAGGUCUUCGGAUCGUAAAGCUCUGUUAUUAGGGAAGAACAAACGUGUAAGUAACUGUGCACGUCUUGACGGUACCUAAACAGAAAGCCACGGCUAACUACGUG